rnacentral:rRNA from 1 species
UCCUACGGGACGCAGCAGUGGGGGAUAUUGCACAAUGGGGGGAACCCUGAUGCAGCGACGCCGCGUGGGUGAAGGAGCGUUUCGGCGCGUAAAGCCCUAUCGGCAGGGAAGAAGAUGACGGGACCUGACCAAGAAGCCCCGGCUAACUACGUGCCAGCAGCAGCGGGAAUACGUAGGGGGCAAGCGUUAUACGGAUUUACUGGGGGUAAAGGGGGGGCAGACGGCGAUGCAAGCCAGGGGUGAAAGCCCGGGG